AGUGAGCGCUGGCGGUAGGCCUAACACAUGCAAGUCGAACGGCAGCACAGUAAGAGCUUGCUCUUACGGGUGGCGAGUGGCGGACGGGUGAGGAAUACAUCGGAAUCUACUUUUUCGUGGGGGAUAACGUAGGGAAACUUACGCUAAUACCGCAUACGACCUACGGGUGAAAGCAGGGGAUCUUCGGACCUUGCGCGAUUGAAUGAGCCGAUGUCGGAUUAGCUAGUUGGCGGGGUAAAGGCCCACCAAGGCGACGAUUCGUAGCUGGUCUGAGAGGAUGAUCAGCCACACUGGAACUGAGACACGGUCCAGACUCCUACGGGAGGCAGCAGUGGGGAAUAUUGGACAAUGGGCGCAAGCCUGAUCCAGCCAUACCGCGUGGGUGAAGAAGGCCUUCGGGUUGUAAAGCCCUUUUGUUGGGAAAGAAAAGCAGCAGGUUAAUACCCCGCUGUUCUGACGGUACCCAAAGAAUAAGCACCGGCUAACUUCGUG
rnacentral:rRNA from 1 species